rnacentral:rRNA from 1 species
UACACUCCUACGGGAGGCAGCAGUGGGGAAUAUUGCACAAUGGGCGCAAGCCUGAUGCAGCCAUGCCGCGUGUGUGAAGAAGGCCUUCGGGUUGUAAAGCACUUUCAGCGGGGAGGAAGGCGAUACGGUUAAUAACCGUGUUGAUUGACGUUACCCGCAGAAGAAGCACCGGCUAACUCCGUGCCAGCAGCCGCGGUAAUACGGAGGGUGCAAGCGUUAAUCGGAAUUACUGGGCGUAAAGCGCACGCAGGCGGUCUGUCAAGUCGGAUGUGAAAUCCCCGGGCUCAACCUGGGAACUGCAUUCGAAACUGGCAGGCUUGAGUCUUGUAGAGGGGGGUAGAAUUCCAGGUGUAGCGGUGAAAUGCGUAGAGAUCUGGAGGAAUACCGGUGGCGAAGGCGGCCCCCUGGACAAAGACUGACGCUCAGGUGCGAAAGCGUGGGGAGCAAACAGGAUUAGAAACCCUAGUAGUCCCAUGA